GACGAACGCUGGCGGCGUGCUUAACACAUGCAAGUCGAACGGACAGGCCCUGCUUUUGUUGGGUGCUCGAGUGGCGAACGGGUGAGUAACACGUGAGUAAACUGCCCUUGACUUUGGGAUAACUUCAGGAAACUGGGGCUAAUACCGGAUAUGAGCUCCUGCAGCAUGGUGGGGGUUGGAAAGUUUCGGCGGUUGGGGAUGGACUCGCGGCUUAUCAGCUUGUUGGUGGGGUAGUGACUUACGAAGGGUAUGACGGAUAGGCGGCCUGAGAGGGUGACCAGCGACAUGGGUACUACGAGACGGCGCAGACGCGUACGGGCGGCAGCAGGGGAGAAUAUGGCACAAUGGGCGGGAGCCUGAUGCAGCGACGCCGGGUGCGUGAUGACGGCUUUCGGGUGAUAAACCGCUGUCGCCUGUGAUGAAGCGUGAGUGACGGUAAUGGGUAAAGAAGCACCGGCUAACUACGUG
rnacentral:rRNA from 1 species